UACGUAGGGUGCAAGCGUUGUCCGGAAUUAUUGGGCGUAAAGAGCUCGUAGGCGGUCUAUCGCGUCGGAUGUGAAAACCCAGGGCUCAACCCUGGGCCUGCAUUCGAUACGGGCAGACUAGAGUUCGGUAGGGGAGACUGGAAUUCCUGGUGUAGCGGUGAAAUGCGCAGAUAUCGGGAGGAACACCAAUGGCGAAGGCAGCUCGCUGGGACGUUACUGACGCUGAGACGCGAAAGCGUGGGGAGCAAACAGG
rnacentral:rRNA from 1 species